rnacentral:lncRNA from 1 species
CCGUUCUCCUGUUUCCCAGUCGGCCGUGGGCUCCCUGAGGACAGGGCGUGUGUCACUUCUCGCAAGGUUUCCCAGGCGCCCUUGCGCAGGGCCCUGCACGAAGCGCAUGCGCACUACCCGCGACCUCGUUGACCGGAAAUACUUCUGCCUGGGUCUCACCACAACCGUCCUCUGUGACUGGAGCUCGACUGAAGAGAGCUGCGACUCUGAGGACGUAGUCAAUGGAGGCCAUGGUUCUACUGACCAACUCCUUCAGAGGAACCGGGAGGACAAACCACAACGGCGAACAGGCUAGAUUCGAAGGCGGGCGGGGUGCAUGCACAGAGGGCCUCGAACUCUGGCACCAUCUUGGGCCCCCGCGGGCUGGACGCUCGGCCUUUCCCUGGGGUCGGCCAGGUUGGUGGGCUUGCGUCCCGCGCCUCUUCGACACACAGACUUCCCGUCUCUUGGGGAGAUACCGCCGAUGUCCUCCAGACGGCAGUGCUGGGGAUUCCAGUCGGCGCCGGGCUGCAGGCCUCGCGCUGAGACCCAGCCCGUCGUGGUUGGGCGUUACCCAGGUGACCUGAUAAUCACAGGACUCAUCCGCCAGACGUGGUCUCUUCUCUGCCUUGCCCCACCGACGGCUUCCAGUUUUGCAGCUAGAGUCUUCGAAAAAGGUUUAUCUCAUGAUGGGCCUUUAAAAUGAACCAGAUAAAAAUGAUUUUCUCUACCUGCACGAUGAUCUGCAUUGUGGAAGCC